CACCUGGCGAGCACUUUCUCAGAAGAGAGUCCCAUAAAGCCCCGGUGCUCUCACACCGAGAGGGCGGCACACUUCCGAAGAGAAUGACUAAGACACCGUCAUCGUUACGACGAACGGUAAUGAGGAAAAAAGCCUAUCACUCAGGAAUAACCACUGGUGACACUUUGCACAGACCGCAUUUAACCAAUCCCCUACUGUGAGACUUCUACGUGGCUUCCACUCUUCCUGCCCAUCUCAACACCCACGGGCACACAUGCUGGCAGGCCCUUUAUCAUCCCCUGAGCAAACGUUCUCAGGCGCAACUGCUCGAUCUAGGUACCGGGUCCCCUCCUCAGUUACUUCACUGACGAGGGACCAACGAAACCACGUGUGCCUCGGGCGUCAUCACUGAAGGUCCCGUGGCCCGGCCUGGCACGGCGAACUCAUCGCCCUGUGAGGGGCUCGCCUGACACCGAGGCCCAGGGGCGUCACCCGACUCGCCCGAAGCCUGAAACCCGGCACCGAGCUCCGCCGCUGGACCCCGACCCCCUCCUCCCGGUAGCCUUGGGAGGGA